AACGAACGCUGGCGGCAGGCCUAACACAUGCAAGUCGAGCGAGGACUUCGGUCCUAGCGGCGGACGGGUGAGUAACGCGUGGGAACGUGCCCUUUGCUUCGGAAUAGCCCUGGGAAACUGGGAGUAAUACCGAAUGUGCCCUUUGGGGGAAAGAUUUAUCGGCAAAGGAUCGGCCCGCGUUGGAUUAGGUAGUUGGUGGGGUAAUGGCCUACCAAGCCGACGAUCCAUAGCUGGUUUGAGAGGAUGAUCAGCCACACUGGGACUGAGACACGGCCCAGACUCCUACGGGAGGCAGCAGUGGGGAAUCUUAGACAAUGGGCGCAAGCCUGAUCUAGCCAUGCCGCGUGAGCGAUGAAGGCCUUAGGGUUGUAAAGCUCUUUCAGCGAGGAAGAUAAUGACUGUACUCGCAGAAGAAGCCCCGGCUAACUCCGUGCCAGCCGCCGCAGUAAGAC
rnacentral:rRNA from 1 species